rnacentral:lncRNA from 1 species
GAGUCCAGUCAGCAGACAGCAGAAGAGACUGUCAGCAGACCACCUUGGAGGGGAUGCUUGGAGCUGCCUAACGUGUGAUUCAAAGAUGAAUUCCAUGUGUUUGGAGAAGAAGCCCUAGCCUCAACACAAAGGUUGGCCACAUUCCAGCCAAGGUAGCACGGAGUGAAGGCCCGUGGAGGGAGAGCUGGGCUUUUCUGAACUACUUCAGUACACCUUGCUGUGCCUUGGCCUGCCGUGUUUCAUCCCCAUGGCUGUCCUCAGUGAUGUGCAUGGUCACUGCUCCCUUCACCACUGAGAAGACGGGCACAGGACAGUCAGGGGAUGUGUCCAAGGUCCCACAGCAGGAAGGGCUGGAGCCAGAAUGUGGUCUGAGAGGCUGGAUAUACAAAGAGACAAUGGCAUGACCAUCUGUACAAAUGGAACUAUGGCCCACAACCUGCAGCAGCCAGCCCAGGAAGCCAACCCGUCACCUGCAGCAGCCAGGAUGGAUGCUGGCCUGCCCUCACUGGAGAUAAGCAGCCUCUGUCUGUCCUCGUUUGGGCACCUUGCUCCUUCCCAGGAGUCUGAGAGACUCUCCUGCCCCACAGUGUGGGCUCCACCACCCUCCUGCCUGCUGUGGGAAAUCAGGAGGGUGAAGGUGAAGCUGGACUUGGCCCAGAGGUGCCCACAGGGACGCCCAGAGCUGCACAAGCUCCCUCCAUCUUGCCUCUGGGACCAGCUCUGCAUUGCUCCAAAGCCCUCAUCAGUGUCUGCUUUCUGUUGCAAUAACUGAAUACCUGAGAUUGGACAAUUUAUAAAGAAAAAAAUUAUAUCUGACAA